AGCGAACGCUGGCGGCAGGCUUAACACAUGCAAGUCGAGCGGGCGUAGCAAUACGUCAGCGGCAGACGGGUGAGUAACGCGUGGGAACGUACCUUUUGGUUCGGAACAACACAGGGAAACUUGUGCUAAUACCGGAUAAGCCCUUACGGGGAAAGAUUUAUCGCCGAAAGAUCGGCCCGCGUCUGAUUAGCUAGUUGGUGAGGUAACGGCUCACCAAGGCGACGAUCAGUAGCUGGUCUGAGAGGAUGAUCAGCCACAUUGGGACUGAGACACGGCCCAAACUCCUACGGGAGGCAGCAGUGGGGAAUAUUGGACAAUGGGGGCAACCCUGAUCCAGCCAUGCCGCGUGAGUGAUGAAGGCCCUAGGUUGUAAAGCUCUUUGUGCGGGAAGAUAAUGACGGUACCGCAAGAAUAAGCCCCGGCCUAACUUCGUGCCAGCAGCCGCGGUAAU
rnacentral:rRNA from 1 species